UACGAAGGUGGCAAGCGUUAAUCGGAAUUACUGGGCGUAAAGCGUGCGCAGGCGGUUUUGUAAGACAGAUGUGAAAUCCCCGGGCUUAACCUGGGAACUGCGUUUGUGACUGCAAGACUCGAGUACGGCAGAGGGGGGUGGAAUUCCACGUGUAGCAGUGAAAUGCGUAGAGAUGUGGAGGAACACCGAUGGCGAAGGCAGCCCCCUGGGUCGAUACUGACGCUCAUGCACGAAAGCGUGGGGAGCAAACAGG
rnacentral:rRNA from 1 species